GAACGAGAAAGGGGCUUCGGUCCUGAGUAAAGUGGCGCACGGGUGAGUAACACGUGGGUAACCUGCCUUUAAGAUUGGGAUAACUCGUCGAAAGAUGAGCUAAUACCGGAUAAGACCACAGUUCCUGCGGGGACAGGGGUCAAAGGUAGCCUAUGCUUGCAAGCUAUCACUUAGAGAUGGGCCUGCGUACCAUUAGCUAGUUGGUGAGGUAACGGCUCACCAAGGCAAAGAUGGUUAGCUGGUCUGAGAGGAUGAUCAGCCACACUGGAACUGAGACACGGUCCAGACUCCUACGGGAGGCAGCAGUGGGGAAUAUUGCGCAAUGGGCGAAAGCCUGACGCAGCAACGCCGCGUGAGUGAUGAAGGCCCUCGGGUCGUAAAGCUCUGUCGGAGGGAACGAAUGCUCCUAAGGUUAACAGCCUCAGGAAGUGACGGUACCCUCAAAGGAAGCACCGGCUAACUCUGUG
rnacentral:rRNA from 1 species